rnacentral:lncRNA from 1 species
UAUUAGGGACUCCCUUGUAUGAGUACAAGGUCUCUUUUAGCUUGAUCUAGGCUUAAUACUCUAUUAUAGCAUGAAAUCCCUUAUUUUCCACCCGGAUAAACAGUAACCCGGACUGACAGUGGGUUACUUCAUCCCGAUUUUGAUCCACUUUCAGGACUCCAAAUUUGAUGAAAUUUUUACCUAACAUUCUACACUCAUAGAGGAUUCCAAAGAGAUAACAUGCAUCAUC